UACGGAGGGUGCAAGCGUUAAUCGGAAUUACUGGGCGUAAAGGGUUCGUAGGUGGUUGUAUAAGUUAUGUGUGAAAUCCCCGGGCUUAACCUGGGGCGGUCAGAUAAUACUGUAUGACUCGAGUAUAGGAGAGGGUAGUGGAAUUUCCGGUGUAGCGGUGAAAUGCGUAGAGAUCGGAAGGAACACCAGUGGCGAAGGCGGCUACCUGGCCUGAUACUGACACUGAGGAACGAAAGCGUGGGGAGCAAACAGG
rnacentral:rRNA from 1 species